GUGGUAAAAAAGAUAAUGCAUAUAUAAUUUACAUACUUACUUUAAGAUAUUCCCUUUUGAGGAAUAACACUCGACAACACUCCGGCACAAUGCUUGCUAUCGUACUCACAGGAAUGCGCAAAAGAAACAUCAGAGAAUGAUAUGAAUCACCAGUAAAAAAUUAAAUUACAUCAAUAAAAAUAUUAAUUAAAAGUUCAUAAAAAUGUUAAUUAUAUUUAAUACAUACCCGUGGCUAAAAAACGCAAUGUCAGGGCUAGUCGCAUUACAGUGUCUUGUUUAGUUAUGCAGUUUUUUACUUUUUCUAAUAAAAAAUUGAAAUCACUGACUGACAUGCGAAAAAAAUUGUAAUAGUUUGUAUCAUUGCCAUUUUGUAGCUCUUUUAAAAGGUUCUGAUGCACUCCUUUUUCAUCUCUUUUGGAAAUCCACUCUUUCACCCAACACUUUUUUUUUUUGCAGACUCUAAUCUUCUUACUUUUUUAAGUUUUAUUAAAGUUGCUAAUAUAGCAAUAGCAACAGCUCUCGAUUUUUUGCCGACAUAAUAUAAACAAGUCGAUAUUCCUUGACUUUCUCAAAACAACAGAACUUGCAAAUGAGUGUCACUUGCAAGCACUGCAAACAAAAAAUGGAAACACGUGUAGACAUUAACGCAAUAUAUUGCACGAAAUAGCCAUGCAAAAGUUUGCGUGCAAAACAUAAAUCGGUUAAGGCAAGACAUUUUCAUGCAAUAUUUACAUUGGUGUGAACAUAUGUGAAAACUUUUGCUGCAAAUUAUUUUCAACUUGCUGCAAAUUACUUGCAUCGUGUGUACCUAGCUUUAUAUAACAUUAACGAACAUGUCAAACAGCAGUCCGGCACAGCGCACAUAAUAAUAACAAGCGUAAUUUAAGAGAUAUCUUAAUUACAUUUUUAGUUUAGCAUGAUUGUUAAUAGCCGGAUGAUUGUUCCAAUAUUCAGUAGAAUCAGUCAACUAUAUCAAAUAGAUAGUUCUGAAUAUCUAUUCAAAAUAUUUAAAGAUUUUAAAAUACCAUUCUGAAAAUAGUUUACCAGUGUAACUUAUGUAAUUUUAAAUAUAUUUAAAUGCCAAUAUCUGAACUAUCGGAACAUAAAACGUCUUUUUCAAAGUUGGCAUCAAAUAGCAAAUCUGGAACUUCUUUAUCCAACUCUAUAUUUUCUUUGGAAAGCCUCGAUGACAAUUUUGAUAACUUUGAAAUUACAGGAUCAGAUGUAAAUAGAAGAGCAUGCAUUAAAUCUUCCAUCGUAUUUUUACGUGAAAACUUUCGGGUGUUAGCAUUUUACUUUAGCGUUUCUCAAUAAAUCGUAGCUUGGAAAUUUAAUGACAUGAGACUUGUUUAUAACAGCGGCAUAUGUUCGGUUUGACGCUUCCCAGCUUCACGAAAUAUGAGAGUUUCAACGGACUCUGCCAUGAAAUUUUGAAUUAAAUGCAGCUAGAUUGAAGGAGGAAAAUUUCUUUAAAAAUGUGAUCGCAGGGUUAAUGAUGUCGGGGCUCUUGGCGGUCCAUUAUCGCUAAUGAUGCCAAAAAGUGUAUAAAGGGCUUGCGGGUUAUUCGAGCCAUCCGUAGCAACGAGAUUUAAUGAAAUAUUUUCUUUGGAAGACGACGAUUUUGACCGAAAAUUCUUCCAAUACGCCCAGGACAGAAUCUCGAAAGGGCAUAAGCAAAUUAAACUUAAUUCACUAACCUAAUUUUUGUAGUAUAAAAAUGAAAAAAGUGUAAAAAAAAAAAAACGAGGGGG